GAAAUGCGAUAAGUAAUGUGAAUUGCAGAAUUCAGUGAAUCAUCGAAUCUUUGAACGCAACUUGCGCUCCUUGGUAUUCCGAGGAGCAUGCCUGUUUGAGUGUCAUGAAAACCCUCAACCCUAGAUUGGUUAAUACCUUUCUUUGGUUUGGAUUUGGACGUUUGCCGAUGAUAAGUCGGCUCGUCUUAAAAGUAAUAGCUGGAUCUGUCUCGCGACAUGGUUUGACUUGGCGUAAUAAGUAUUUCGCUAAGGACAUCUUCGGAUGGCCGCGUUGCAGGACUAAAGACCGCUUUCUAAUCCAUUGAUCUUCGGAUUAAUACUCUUGACAUCUGGCCUCAAAUCAGGUAGGACUACCCGCUGAACUUAAGC
rnacentral:misc_RNA from 1 species